AGUUAGUGGCGGACGGGUGAGUAACGCGUGGAAAACCUGCCGUAUACUGGGGGAUAACACUUAGAAAUAGGUGCUAAUACCGCAUAAGCGCACAGUCCCGCAUGGGACAGAGUGAAAAACAUUAGUGGUGUAAGAUGGACCCGCGUCUGAUUAGCUUGUUGGCGGGGUAACGGCCCACCAAGGCGACGAUCAGUAGCCGGCCUGAGAGGGUGGACGGCCACAUUGGGACUGAGACACGGCCCAAACUCCUACGGGAGGCAGCAG
rnacentral:rRNA from 1 species